rnacentral:misc_RNA from 1 species
CUUGUCCUGGGCGGAGACUGGCGUCGCAAGCGCGGCGGCAAGCAGCGAGACGACCAGAGCAUAAGCAUAUCGAUGUGUCAUAACCUGUCCUUUUAGUGUUCAAACGACGAGAUCGCCGCGUACGAAAGCCGCAGCUUCCGGUGUCGACGGGUUUUUGAGGAAAUCUUCAGCAGGCGUUUGUUCGCGAACGGCGCCGCGCACCAUGAAAACGACAUCGCCG